UAGGGUUUGAUUCUGGCUCAGGACGAACGCUGGCGGCGGGCCUAAUACAUGCAAGUCGAACGCACUCGACCUUCGGGUCACAUGAGUGAGUGGCGAACGGGUGAGUAACACGUGAGGAACCUGCCCUGAAGACCGGAAUAACCCGAGGAAACUCGAGCUAAUACCGGAUAUCCCCAUCUGGUCGCAUGGCCUAAUGAGGAAAUGUUCAGGCGCUUCAGGAGGGUCUCACGGCCUAUCAGCUAGUUGGUGAGGUAACGGCUCACCAAGGCAUCGACGGGUAGCUGGUCUGAGAGGACGAUCAGCCACACUGGGACUGAGACACGGCUCAGACUCCUACGGGAGGCAGCAGUAGGGAAUCUUGCGCAAUGGGCGAAAGCCUGACGCAGCCACGCCGCGUGAGGGAUGAAGGCUCUCGGGUUGUAAACCUCUUUCAGCGGAGACGAAAAUGACGGUACCUGCAGAAGAAGCUCCGGCCAACUACGUGCCAGCCGCCGCGGUAAUACA
rnacentral:rRNA from 1 species